CUUAUUCAUAAUUUCAAUUAAAUGAUUCUAACCUCUAGAAGGAUAACAAAGAUUGUACUUAUCGGCCAUGCCGUACAGCCUCUUUAAAUAACUGCGCUUGGGUAUUCGGGGAAACCCAAUCCCUGGGAGGGUAACUUAUAAAGCGAAAUGUAGCGUC
rnacentral:ribozyme from 1 species